UGGGAGGCUGUGAGGGCUCGAGCCGCUUCGGGCGCUCACGUCACGCCAAGCGUGGGGGCGCGAAGCGCGGGGAUGUGGUUCCGGUCGGGAAGGGUGGGGCUGAGGACUAUGAAGGAAGCAGGCUAGGAGCUGUGAAGCACCCCGGUCAUCCCAGGUCUGUGAAUUGAUGAACUUUAAUUAACUGUAACCAGUACCGGGCACGGUGGUGCGUGUCUGUCUGUAGUCCCAGCUACUUGGGAGGCUAAGGCACGAAAAUCGCUUGAUCCUGGGAGUUUGAGGCCAUCUGGGCAACAAGUGUGAG